AGAGCUCCUUCGCCUCAACUUUCAAAUUUUCAUGCUUUCGAAGGACUCAAGCCCCCUGUGUUUUCGUCCGUCUCUCUUUUUUUCUUUGCUGGAGAUUUUCUAUUCAUCAUCUCCUUCGCCUGAGCUUUCGAUUUUCCAUGCUUGCAAGGACUCAAGCCCCUUGUGUUUUCGUCCGUCUCUCCUUUUUUUUUCUUUGCUGGAGAUUUUCCAUCCAUCAGCUCCUUCGCCUGAGCUUUCGAUUUUCCAUGCUUUCAAGGACUCAAGGCCCCUGUGUUUUCGUCCGUGUCUCCUUUUUUUUCUUUGCUGGAGAUUUUCCAUUCGUCUAGCUCGCACAAGAGAGCAACCCACUCGUGUUAAGAAAUAAUUUUCGAGAGAGCUCCCUCUCAAGACCUGCCUCUCUGCUGCCCCUUCCCUCUUCUCAUCUCCUCCAUCCCCGCCUCCCUAUAAAAUUUCAUAGUGAAACCAGACUUUUUGCAGAGGCAAUGCCAUGGAGAAAUCUCUGGUAACGCUGGACAAGGGUACAUGCUGCUAUUCUUGGAACUACUGUGGCUAGAGAUUGGCGACGGGAUCGUCAGAUGGAAUACUGGCGAUUUUUUAUUCUCCUGACCCAGAUUCUUCGACCUUCACCUGCACGUCAAGAUGUAAGGCACAUGAAACAAGUAUUACGAAAGUUACUUGGAUCCCUCCAGAAUAUGGUGAUGCAGUUGCAUGCAUUUGUUUAGAUGGAAAAUUAUCACUAUGGGAGGAAAGUGAGGAAGGUGGCUCUAAUCUCCUGUUUCCUUUGAGGCCUAAGAUGGUUUGAGUGCUGCAUUAUUCCCCUUUUUCAUUUUUUUUUCUUUCUUUUUCAUUUAUGUCUGGCAGUGGUAUUGAAAGGUGGUGAUGGUGGUUGACCGGCAAUGGUGAGGUGGUGGUUUUUUAGUUAGCGAUGUUGCUUUUUUUCUUUUUUCUCUGUAUUGAUGAUGGUGUUGCAUUUUAUCGUUUUUUUUUUUUUUUUUUCUAACUUUGGCGUUCUGUGGUGCGAAGGGCUGGUCAUGGUAGGAGUCGGCGGUUGCGGACGAUGGUGGUGGUUGCCUAUGUUGGUUGUGCUAUGUUUUAUUUAUCCCCUUUUUUAUUUCCUUAACCUGUGGUGAGAUGGACCGUCGGGCCUAGAUCAUGGGCCCGGGCCUGGCUCCCAUAUAAAGUUCGAAAUUUGGCUAGGUAAUUGAGAAAAAAAGAUGUGUAUUUUUUAUUUAACAAUAGAAUUGAUUUAUUUAUAUAAAAUUGACGUAAAAACUAAAAAUUUGUCCUCAUCUCCGAUCAACGCAGCCAUUAUGAAAUUAACCCUAUCCCCAUCUCCUAUUUACCCUCCAAUCUCCAUCGCCGAUCCUUGACGGGGACGGGUUCGCUGCAGGCACUGGAAUCUUCAGUGGUUGAACUACUUUUGUUUUUGAAUGUUUCUUCACUUCUUAUUUAUGUUUUCGAAUCAUUUCUUUA